CGAAGCUGAAAACGCGCAUAUCGGGACAUCGCUCAAACGUACGCAGACUGACGACACUGAGAGAAGCAGGACACACCAAUGCAGACGCAGCGAUUAUUAGUAUUAGGGAAAAGACAGCGCUAGUAGACCACGCAGCAGAAAAUGACCAUGUUUUCAGACUUGACGAUGUGAAGAUAUUAGAUAGGACACAAAAACCAUCAAAUCUUCCCAUCUUGGAAAGUUGUCACAUAUACAACACGCCACACACGGUAAACAAACGUACUGACACAGACAAUCUGAACGUAGUCUACGCUGGUCUACUCCACUCUAUCAUGAACGUAAAAAGAACAAAAUCAAACAACCAAAACAGACCGAAUGUAAACAUGACACAAACUGACGACACUGACACGACUGAAACCGAACACACAACGCACGAAUAGAACAAACUAAAACUGUCAUUUUGAAAGUUGUACGUAAAGGUAGUGGAUAGCGGUCCGGUUUCCGACCAACGAAAAUAUCUUUUUGAAUUUGAAGGUUUUUCGGAACAGAAAAAACGGACAAAUUCAAAAAACAACAAAUGACGGUUAAAAGUUUUAAAAAACUACCACUGGACGAAAAAGCAACAAUUUCAUUCGAUUCCCUGAGGAAGAUCCAAUAAGGAUCGAAACGUUGGAAGAAGAAAACAUUUAGUUGUUUUUGACCCCGAAAAGACUGAAACGCCAAAACUAUUCGAAAGUCUUCAAAACAGUCGUCGUCAAUAU